GUCUGGGUUGACAAUCAGGGCAAACUUCAAGAGUUUGUGUGAACAUCCAGAUUCCUUCUGUUGUAUUCUCCAUCAUCUCCUAGAAUGUUGGCUUCAACUUCAUGACCAUGAUCAAGACCACCUUAUCAUCCAGCAAACCCUAGAAUUUCAGCUGAGCACAUGGAAGCCCAGUAGAGACCACAUUUUCCAGCCUCCCUUGCAGCUCAGGUGAGUGAGGCAGACAUGCCAAUCCAUUCUGCCUGGGAUUUUCUUCCAGCCAAGAGCAAGUACAUGGGAUUUAAAAAUCAAAUGAAUAAACCCCACAGGACAGUUUCAUGGUUUACUGGACAAUGUGAAAUGAGAGAGCCAGGGAAGACGACCAGCAGAUGGAACU